rnacentral:rRNA from 1 species
UUCCGUAGGUGAACCUGCGGAAGGAUCAUUAUUAAAAGUAAAAUGAGUGCACUUUAUUGUGGCUCAAACCUCUUUUAAAUCUUUAACCCUUUUUAAACCCAAAGCUGUCUUGUGUGCUUCAUUUUUUUGAAGUAUAGCAUUUCAGUAGUACGCAAUCACGGACUUUAUUGUUCAUGUUGCAUUACCCCCCCUUAUAAGUGACCCCUUAUUUUUUGAAAUCAUUAACAUUAAAAAGUUUUAAGAAUGUAAACCCCCCUUAAAUUAAUAUAUAUAACUUUUAACAAUGGAUCUCUUGGCUCUCACAUCGAUGAAGAACACAGUGAAAUGUGAUAAGUAAUGUGAAUUGCAGAAUUCAGUGAAUCAUCGAAUCUUUGAACGCACCUUGCACCUUUUGGUAUUCCAAAAGGUACACCUGUUUGAGUGUCAUGAAACCCUCUCAUUCCAAUUCUUCAUUAACUUGAAGAUGUUGGUAAUGGAUGUUGAGUGCUGCUGUGUUAAACAGCUCACUUUAAAUAUAUAAGUACAUUUGUUGAUAAAUAAAUGGAGAAAUACUUGGUGUGAUAAUUAUCAUUCAUCGAGGAAUGUUGAUGUAGUAAUACUUUGACAGCCAUUUGAGUUUCAGUAAAUAGCUUCCUAACCAUAUAUAAUCAUUUGAACUUUAGACCUCAAAUCAGGUGGGAUUACCCGCUGAACUUAAGCAUAUCAAUAAGCGGAGG